rnacentral:rRNA from 1 species
UUCAUAAAAUUUGACCUCAAAUCAGGUAGGACUACCCGCUGAACUUAAGCAUAUCAAUAAG